CAAUCUUAAAAAAAAAAAAAAGAAAAGAAAGAAAAGAAAUCCCUCUGAGCUGGCGUCAGAGAUGUCAACAAAUUUAAACAGCGUCGUUACUUUCCAAAGCCCCUCCUGCAUCUAUUACAACUCUUCAUCUGUGCUUUCUAUCUGCGUGCACACCUCGCGUCGGUGUAGCCCCCCUGCCCUACGUUCCCCUGAAGUAUUUCAACCCGCGGCGUUGCACGUGACGUCUGCAGGAGCUGGCUGGUAUUUCACAGGAAAGAAACAGAAGGACAGAGGAGGAAAGUGACAACUCCGCUCAGGCUAACAGAGACUGCAGGGGCCCGAAACAGAGACAACUCGGCGGUGCGCUGGAGUGGCCGGGUGGGCUCUUGCUGGCGAGAUCCAGGCACGCACAUCCCUGUCUGACUCCGGGUUCGAUGACAUCGAGUGGGUAGCUUGAAAUUGGCCACAUUGGGGGCAUUUACACCACAGGAAUUGGCAGAUGCGACAGAUUAGGGGUUUGCAUCCUCUGAAGAGCUGUCUACACGUCCAGCAGCCCACCCCCCAGACUCAGGCCACCUCGAGGCAUCUGAUUCUGCGGCCAGCGCCGGCGAACGCUCUUCUCUCCACAUUGCAUCUCAGAAGGACGGUUCUCCUGGGAGGAGGCGUCCACGCCAGCUGCACCCAGGGGCACUGGAAGGAGAGCGAUGCUUGCACCUCUGUCCCCGAAAACAGGACGCAGCGAUCGUUUACAAGCUCGGCGCUCUCUCUCCAAGACGUCAGCCGGGAGCUGUUGGAUCCACGGUGAACGCUCUCGGUUCCCGCAGCAAACGCAGCGAGGCCUCCCGCUCCGGCCGCCAUUUGGAGAAGUCUGGCCUUGUUUCUGCAGUUGACGGCUGAAGGCUUGAAAAUGGCUUGUCUAUCCAACUGCCCUUCCGAUGGUUCCACGUGGGGGUUUCGAAAGCAUCUCAGACUCAACGUGGCCGACUGAGCUCCUGCUCUUCCCCCAAACCUGCUCCUCCUGCGGUUUCACUAAACGGAGGCUCCAUCCUUCCAGGUGUUCAGGUCAAAAUGUUGGCUUGUCCCUGAGUUUUCUCUUCCUCUCUCAGCCGCACAUCCCUCCAUUGGCAGUCUUGUCGACUCUGUCUCGCUCACUCCGUUCCAGUCACCCGGGCCUCCUCACGCUGUUCCUCUAAUAUGCCAGCCACAGCCCUGCCCCAGGGCCUUUGCACGGUCUGUUUUCACUGCCACAACUCUUCCCCGACAUAUCCAAAGGCAGACGUGAGUAGUUGCGACAGACGCUGCCUGGCCCUCAAAGCAGAAAAUAUUUACAAUCUGGUCCUUUACAGAAAAAGUUCGCAGAGCCCUGCUCUAGUGCCAAAGGAGGAAAUCAUGUCACCAGAGGGGAAACUGAGGCCCAGAGGGUCAAAAUGAGUUUUCCAAGGCCCCGCAUUUCUGAGGGGCUCCUCAUUUGUCAAAUUGUCUAAACAGCAUCUCACGAGCUUCAGAGGAAACAGCAAUCACACUGACCAAUGUCUCCAUAAGUUGAAGGCCACCUGGGUGUGCAGAGCUUGGUAGAGAAGUCUGUGCACACCCAUCUGAUCUGGCCAAGCCCGGGAGAUUUUUUAAUUGCCGCUGUAAAAAAAAAAAAAAAAAGGCAUUGCUUUUUCUAGAAACCUUGAGUUUGGGACUUUGAUCGGAGCGUUACGACAUGGCAGCGAAACCCAAUUUUGACUUCCUCUCUUCUGGAGGCGUUUUCCCGGCACAGUUGGAGGGGGGUGGCAAAAUGCACCCCGCAUCCUCAGAGACAGAAAGCAGAGCCCUGGUUUCCAGGGGCCGAGAAAGGAGGGGAAUUGGCACCGAGCGCUAAUGGGCGUGGGGUUGCUUUUGGGAAUGAUGGAAAAUGUCCUGGAAUGAGAUGGUGGUGAUGGUUGCACAGCACCGUGAAUACGCUAGAACCCACUGAACUGUGCACUUUAAAAGGAUACAUUCUACAUUCCGUACAGUAUGUCUCGAUAAAAAAAAAUUUUAAAAGACGAUGCCCCUCUGUUUGUUAUUAAAUAAUAGUGCUGUGAAAUAAACAAAUAACGGGAAAGCGAAAAAAUAAAUCUCGCCUAUAACCCUCCCCUCCUCUAGUCAAAUUCCCUUUGUUUUCCCGCAUCCCCUCCUGGUUCUUGUUCAUCCGGAUGGAUCCCUUUUUGCACAGCUAUAACCAUCCAUGGGUCAGGAUGCAGCACAAAAUUAUUUUUAAAAACUAAAUGUUUGUAACUCUGCAGCGACGGAUCUUAUCUCGACUUACUGUGGUCAUUUUGCAAUCUAUGCAUAAGUUGGAUCAUUACGUUGUACCCUUGAAACUAAUAUAAUGUUGUAUGUCAAUUAUAUCUUAAUAAAAAAAUAAAAGCAAUUGAGAAAAAAAA